AGGGUUCGAUCAUGGCUCAGAACGUACGCUGGCGGCACGCCUAACACAUGCAAGUCGAACGCAGUAGCAAUACUGAGUGGCAAACGGGUGAGUAUAAUGUGGGAAUCUGCCUUUUGGUUUGGAAUAACACGGGGAAACUUGUGCUAAUACCGAAUAAGCCUUUACAGGGAAAGUUUUAACGCCGAAAGAUGAGCCCGCACUUGAUUAGCUAGUUGGUAAGGUAAAAGCUUACCAAGGCAAUGAUCAAUAGCUGUUCUUAGAGGAAGACCAGCCACAUUGGGACUGAGACACGGCCCAGACUCCUACGGGAGGCAGCAGUGGGGAAUCUUGCACAAUGGGGGAAACCCUGAUGCAGCGAUGCCGCGUGGGUGAAGAAGGCCCUUGGGUUGUAAAACUCUUUCGUCGGGGAAGAAAAUGACUGUACCCGAAUAAGAAGGUCCGGCUAACUUCGUGCCAGCCGCCGCGGUAAUAC
rnacentral:rRNA from 1 species